rnacentral:rRNA from 1 species
AACGAACGCUGGCGGCAGGCCUAACACAUGCAAGUCGAACGCCGUAGCAAUACGGAGUGGCAGACGGGUGAGUAACGCGUGGGAACAUACCCCUCGGUUCGGAAUAAACUCAGGGAAACUUGAGCUAAUACCGGAUACGUCCGAGGUUUUGAUCGACCUUGGAGAAAGAUUUAAUCGCCGAAGGAUUGGCCCGCGUCUGAUUAGCUUGUUGGUGAGGUAAUGGCUCACCAAGGCGACGAUCAGUAGCUGGUCUGAGAGGAUGAUCAGCCACAGUU